rnacentral:rRNA from 1 species
UACGUAGGGUGCAAGCGUUAAUCGGAAUUACUGGGCGUAAAGCGUGCGCAGGCGGUUGUGCAAGACAGAUGUGAAAUCCCCGGGCUCAACCUGGGAAUUGCAUUUGUGACUGCACGGCUAGAGUGUGUCAGAGGGGGGGUAGAAUUCCACGUGUAGCAGUGAAAUGCGUAGAGAUGUGGAGGAAUACCGAUGGCGAAGGCAGCCCCCUGGGAUAACACUGACGCUCAUGCACGAAAGCGUGGGGAGCAAACAGG